UUAUAGCUUGGUUGGUAGAGCAUGAGACUUCAUCUCAGGGUGAUGUGUUCAAGCCCCAUGCUGGACAA